UGGGGAAUCUUGCGCAAUGGGGGAAACCCUGACGCAGCGACGCCGCGUGCGGGAUGAAGGCCUUCGGGUUGUAAACCGCUUUCAGCAGGGACGAGGCCUUAUGGUGACGGUACCUGCAGAAGAAGCUCCGGCCAAAUACGUGCCAGCAGCCGCGGUAAUACGCAUGGAGCAAGCGUUAUCCGGAUUCAUUGGGCGUAAAGCGCUCGUAGGCGGUCUGUUAGGUCGGCAAGUUAAAUCCGGGGGCUCAACCCCCGUCCGCUGCCGAUACCGGCAGACUUGAGUGUGGUAGGGGAAGGUGGAAUUCCUAGUGUAGCGGUGGAAUGCGCAGAUAUUAGGAAGAACACCGGUGGCGAAGGCGGCCUUCUGGGCCAUAACUGACGCUGAGGGGCGAAAGCUAGGGGAGCGAACAGG
rnacentral:rRNA from 1 species